rnacentral:misc_RNA from 1 species
UACGUAGGGUGCGAGCGUUGUCCGGAAUUAUUGGGCGUAAAGAGCUCGUAGGCGGCGUGUCGCGUCGGUUGUGAAAGCCCGGGGCAUAACUCCGGGUCUGCAGUCGAUACGGGCAUGCUGGAGUUCGGCAGGGGAGACUGGAAUUCCUGGUGUAGCGGUGAAAUGCGCAGAUAUCAGGAGGAACACCGGUGGCGAAGGCGGGUCUCUGGGCCGAUACUGACGCUGAGGAGCGAAAGCGUGGGGAGCAAACAGG